AGUUUUUGACAGAUUGAGUGAUUGACAGUCAGUUUUCAAGACCAUGUGGACGAUGCGGUGGCAAGGAAAUUCGCUCCUCGUUGCAAGGCCGAAAUCCGUCGACGAAAGCUGGAUUCAAUGGUCGUGAAUUGUAAAUUGUGAUGGAGAAAUGUUACCAUUUUGCAUGCAAAUACAAAAUCUAAAUUUAAAUUCAAACCACACAUUUUAUGAAAUCAAAUCAAAC